rnacentral:lncRNA from 1 species
CAGCUCUGCAGCAGGAAGUCAAGAUGAUUAGGAGAUGGGGUCUCAUUCUAGGGUUUGAGCUGUCUACUUGGAGGGAGGAACGCUGUGGCUUGGAUGAUCCCAAACAGUGGGGAAUCCGAAAGUCAAUUAUAUCUGGAUUUGAAGGAAUUACAUGAUUAUAUUUGCUGCAGGUCGGCCUUCCUAAUUAUGAUUAAUUAAGCUAAUGCUGGGCUCAGUUUGCCCUCCGAGGGCUACCAGGUGACGCCAGAUGUGGGAAUCGCUCCCCAGCUGACAGAGCCCAGUUGUGGUGGGUUUUCCAAGCAGCCUAGGACCCAAACUGCAGCUCCCUCUGUUGCUGGGGGAAAGGGGCCUGGCUGGCUCUUCUCUUCUCCUCUGCCAUGAAAUGGCUGCUUUAGCUGCCUCCAGGUGACCGGGCCAUCAGCCCAGUGCCCAAGGUGCCCAGUCUUGCAAGGUGCCAAGUCAGAUGUUCAGUUCUGGAGCUCAGGCCUCUGAACCACGAAAUUGCAUUUGCUAGCUGCAAAUGAACUGCUGUCCCACGGGGCCCUUCCUGAGCCCUGCAAGGAUAACAGCAGCACAGUUACCCACUUAGAAGCUCCCUUUGGAGGCAGGCACUCUGUGUACCUUAGCGGGUGCCUGCCCACGUGCGGCCUCUGCCGGGGAAGUGGCAUCUGAUUUCCUCGCGUCAGCUGUGCACCCGGCAUCUGGGGAGAGGAGGCAGCCGAGCACGGGAAACUUCCCAUGCUGUUCUCCUUGGCGGGCAGGGAAUAGAACUGGUCUGUCCAUAGACAUCACGGAGAGGUUGUCUGUUGGUGGGGGCUGGAGAGAUGCCCGAGGGCUCCCAAGGUGAUGUCUGGGCCAUCGGGGGUGGGAGGUGACCUGGCGUCACCUCCUGUCCGGUGGGAACGCUGGCUUCAGGCUGGAUUCUGGUUUACACCUUUCCUUUUGGUGAAUGCCAGGGCAUGUUCCAGAACAGCUGUUUGCAGGGCCUCACCUGGGGGCCACAGUGGUGUGUCCACAUGACCCCUGAGCUCCUCACUGUGCACUUCCGACUUUUCCAGAGAAAGGGAAGGAAACUGUCCAGCUCCUCCAGGCCUGCAGUCAAGGCAGAGAACAGUGUCUCCAAUGACUGCCAGAAGUCAGUGGCCAAAUGGUGAUGGUUCUGAGCAGUAAUGAAUUAACACAUUGCUCCAAUUUCUCU